UCAUCAAAGUCUCAUUUCUGUUCAAAACUUUUCAAAUAUUUUAUUUUUUUUAUUCUGUUCAUGUUUCAGAGAGAAAGAAAACUGUAAAGUUUAAAUGUUUAAAAGCAGCUUAUUUCAGAUUGAUUAUUGUGUAAUAUUAAUGGGAGUUUGGUGCGUUUGCUGUGCUGCGUUCAGGCACGCUGAUGCAUUAUGAACGGUCCGGCAGUGCAGCUCUGAUGGAGCCGCUGGCAGCAGAAUAAUGAUGCAGGGAGGAGAAGGACCAGUUUGAACCUGAAUUCACUCAUCGUCAGCAGAUAGGAAGAAAAAACAUCUUAAUGUUGAUUGUUUUCUGUCCGCCUACGUUUCAUCCUCACAGCCUCCUAAAUUACACCAUCAGACUUCUCACGCCAACAGGAAGGAGGUCAAUCUGACGCCAUAAUGGUUUGAAGUGGGAGGGAAAAAUCACCCCUGAACUUUCCCCAGUUUCCCCACAUGGACUCCUGAAUGCUCUGAGCUCCUAAUGGCAGAGAUGACAGGAGGACGUCUUCUGGAACUAAGCUCUGCAGCGCCACCUAUAGGAGCCCACAGCGUUCCCGGCCAGAGGAACCUGCUGCAGGAACAUCUGGGUCCCAAUCAUCUACCAUUAAACACCUCCCGUCUUCACUGGAACCAGCGAUGGAUGAAAGCAGCGUUCGAACCUCAGACCUCCUGUCUGUGGAAAUGUUCCUGUCUGAUAAAGCUGUGAAGUUGUUUGCGGGGCUCGAACCAACAACUCCUGCAGAGAGGCGUCACACAAUGAAGACUCUGCUGCAAAUGUUCUGGAUUCAUUCAGCUUCACUGAAGGAAUCAGAUGGUUUUCUGCAGGGAGAGAAGCCUUCCUAAGAAAAUACACAGCAGAGCGUCUAAAGCUGCAGCUGAAAGCAGUGGAGGAGGAGGAG